AGUGCCCACAGCCAAGCAGUGGUACUCAGGGCAGGCAGCAGGAUUCUCAAGCCGAGAGCGUUCCUCAAGAGAAUGUGGUAGCCAGGCAGGCGGUAGUGCCCAGGAGACGGCAGCAAUACCCAGAGAUGUGCCAAGAGCCCAUGUGAUGUGCUGUGGCAGCCCAGCUGGCAUGGGACCUGCUAUUCCUGUCAUGAAGAAGCCAGGAUCUGGCUCGGGGCUAUAGGUAUAUACCCAGGAGAGGUGCUGGUGACAUUGCCAGAGAAGAAGAAUGUGUGUAAAGGAGGGAGAGGAGAAGGAAAGCAGAGAAGCCAGACUCCAGGAGUGAGGCAAAUGACCUAACAAUGGGCUCGGCAUGCCAGUGGGAGCAGCCUUCCCCUGAACCAGAGCCAUCUUCAGCAGGAACUGGACCAUAUGGCCUCAUGGGUUGGAAAGCCCCCACCCCUCCAUGAUCUGUAUGCUGGGAAGGUAUCUGAGCCCAGAGACCAGUUAAUGGAGGACAUGGUAGAGUAAGGCUGCCCUCCACCAUUCACUGGCUAGCCUCAGGCCAUCCUCGGUUCCCCAGGAUCUCCUGGUGAUUGACCCAGCAGCAACUUAAAAUACUCAGUGGAUCUCUAGAGUGCAACGUUCUCAUACCAACCCUCCCAUGGAGAAAGGCAUUCUCAGCUGCUUUUUAUACCCACAGUGAUGUGUUUUGGCUCCUCUCUCACUCUCUGCACCUGAGACCUUGGGCUUUUCACCUGCUAGAAAGAUCACGAAGAACCCCCACCCGAGUCAAGAGGGAAGGCAGGCACACGCAGACCUGGCUAUUUCCAGAGAGGAACUGACUUGACAAACACCGGGAUGGACUCAAAGCCAGGCGGGAAGAUUACUCUCUGUGACUGUAUAAUAUGUCAGCUCCUGUCCAUUACCUUGUCAUCAGCAUCCCCUCCCCGUUCUCCCUACCUCCACCCCCCAGAGCUUGCUCCUCCUUGCCUAGGAGAUGCUUCAUGCUUUUGGAGUCUCAGCUUUGUUUCCUACACUACGAGCGAUAUGGCUUUCCUGUUCCUGCUUUGGCAUCCUACAGCUUCAAAGCUUGCUUGAUCACCCUUUGUGAGCACCUAGGAUCUUCUUUUCUAAAAAUGGUCACAGUAAUGCUCGCAACUUUACAGACUCUUUCAAGAUUUGAAGGCUUUUGUUUUUACUUUCUUUUUUGGUCAAAAGAGCAAAUCAACUUUCUCUCCCAUGGAUGAGCCCUGUGACCGCCUUUGUGGGCAAAAAUGCAGCAGGGUAGUUGCUGACGGGUUAUCGGGCCAGAUCAUGGAAAAGACCCCAUCCUGGUCUCUCUUCUUUUUGAGGUAUGUGUCUUGAGACUGUGCAUCACAGGAGCUGCGUCCUCCUAGAAUCAGCUGUCACAUAUGAGAAGAGGGCCUUUAAAUGAAUCCAGUCCCCAGCCCCUGAACUACCACAGUGACACCAAGAAGAACAAAGCUGUCUCCAUCAAGCCCAGCUGUCAUGUGGACUUGAGGGGAUUAAAGAAAAACCUGCUAUUUUGAGCCGUUAUGUUGGUAAUUGGUUCCAUAGUAACUGAAUAGACACAACCCUUAUUGUCUCAUCCGCCUGUCCUAUCACCUGGGCUAUCCUGAUCUCUCUUUUCUGGCAGCUGCCGAGCAUACUGGGAGGAAGUCUUCUGCUCCUAACAGUCAGCAUUCCUUUACCAAACCACAGAACACACGGUACUCAGGCUGUCAGAACGUGAGGUCCCACAGCGUCUUAUAGUGCCCCUGAUGUUAGGCCCUUCAUUCAGGUAGCUUGUUACUCUGACCACUCGUGUAAGACAAGCUUGCCUGUAACUGUGUCAACAGACAUCAGUUCGGGGGGAAAACCUGAGGGUGCUGCAGUCAAACCGUGCCUCCUCACCGAUGCUCCUGAGCUAAGGUGCUUCUCUGCCCUGAAGCAUCAAACCGUCUUGCCUGGCUGCUGUUAGCGUAUUCUGCCCUUUCUUGAGCUCUUCCAACUGGCAGGAGUUGUGAGAACUCCUUGCCAAGGAGCAGUGGGCUUGCAAGUGUAGCGGGCACUUGACGCUUAAGCUCUCUUCGUGAGAUACUCAGGGCCAAUAGAAAUAUCGAGCUGAUCAGAACACCACUCCUUCGUGCUGAUGGACUCUGCUUUCCAUAUUGGCUGAUCCAUUCACCUACUACAGCAGGUGCCCCAUAAUUAGCAAGGAAGGAAUCCCACCAUAUGCCUCCCCAGGAAUAUUCUAAUAUGGCCUUCAAACACUUCACAGAAACUUUGUCUGUUGCACACAUUCCCUGUUCUCCCAGUUUAGCAAGGUAGCUCACAGAGAAGGCCAAAGCCUUAGCUAGCUGGUAAGCUUUGUUUUUGUUUACACAAUCCAGGCCUUUGCAGUGGUCUCCAGGACUGCCAUCCAUGGUUCUCAGAAGUCGUCUUUGCUUCUAAUUUCGUGUUAUUGCUUUUAUAUUGAAUACAAACCCAGCCCAUGUUGGGCCUGCAAGAUGGCUCAGUCUGUGAAAGGUCUGAUGACCUGAGUUUGGGAUUCCCAGGACCUCAAUGUGGCAGGAGAGAGCAGACUCCCACAGGUUGUCCUAUGACCUCCCAACGUGUACCGUGGCACCCAUACAUGCACACAUGGUGCACACACAGAGAAAUAGAUAAACAGAACAACCAAAAAACCCAACCCCGCCCAUGUGGAAUUUGCCAUCUCUGCGUUAGCAUUAAGGGAGACUAAAAGGAGGGCAGGCACAGUUAGGGUACAUUAUGUAUUUGAAUUUGCAUUUAGAUUGUUAUUUGUUUUACAGAAUAGCUUGACCUUCAUUGGCAAUUAUAGAAAUAUGUCUUUAAAAAAAUCUAUAGCCUCAGGGCUGAUUUUUUUUUUUUAUAGCUCAGGCCAUUAUUUUAGCGCCACCUGGGGGCGAACAUUGUUUACUGCAGCGGGAAAACCGAAACGGAAAAAAAAAAAAAACACAAAAAACAAAGUAAACCCACCAAACCUUUGAUAAACAGAGAUACAAACUUGCUUCUUUUUGCCUGUCUGUCCCAAAAAAGGUACCCCAGUUGUGCAGUUGUGAGUGUCUAAUUGUUCAAUAAUUUUAUGAAAUGUGUUUGUUAAACCCAUCAUCCUACAAUGGAGAAUCGGGGCACUUUGUGAUAAAACUGAA